rnacentral:rRNA from 1 species
AGUGAACGCUGGCGGUAGGCCUAACACAUGCAAGUCGAACGGCAGCACAGGAGGGCUUGCUCUCUGGGUGGCGAGUGGCGGACGGGUGAGGAAUACAUCGGAAUCUGCCCAGUCGUGGGGGAUAACGUAGGGAAACUUACGCUAAUACCGCAUACGACCUUCGGGUGAAAGAGGGGGAUCGCAAGACCUCUCGCGAUUGGAUGAGCCGAUGUCGGAUUAGCUAGUUGGCGGGGUAAUGGCCCACCAAGGCGACGAUCCGUAGCUGGUCUGAGAGGAUGAUCAGCCACACUGGAGCUGAGACACGGUCCAGACUCCUACGGGAGGCAGCAGUGGGGAAUAUUGGACAAUGGGCGCAAGCCUGAUCCAGCCAUACCGCGUGGGUGAAGAAGGCCUUCGGGUUGUAAAGCCCUUUUGUUGGGAAAGAAAUCUUUCAGGCUAAUACCCUGGGAGGAUGACGGUACCCAAAGAAUAAGCACCGGCUAACUUCGUG